GUACCGUAAAAUACCGCAAAAUACCGAAUUUAAGGUAUACCGGUUUUUUUGGUAAGGUAUGAUACCGUACCGAAGAUUUACGGUAAGGUAAAGGUAUGGAUUUUCCAAAUACCGGGGUAUACCGGUGUAUACCGAUACCGCGGUAUAUACCGAAAAAAUCAAUAAAUACCGUAUUAAAGGUAUAUACCGAAAUACGGUAUGAUACCGUAUUACUGGUAUACCGAAUAUUACUGCAUAUAACGGUG
rnacentral:lncRNA from 1 species